rnacentral:ncRNA from 1 species
UCUUAUUUCGAGAAGCUGAGGGACUUGGCCCGUGGACGCUUCAGCAACCGGCUUAUAAAGUACGGUGCUAAUACCAUCGAUACACUCGAAUGAUAAG